rnacentral:lncRNA from 1 species
CAAACCGUCCCUCUUUCUUCUCCAUUUCUUCUAAAUGAAAGAACGUAAACUCUUGAAUUUUCGAUUUGCAAAUCUCCCCUUUACGUUCCAAAAAACACUUCCACUGCCGCCGUCUUCGUCGCUGUAAACUCUUGAAUUUUCGAUCUAGAAAUCUCCCCAUUUCGUUCCAGAAAACAACUCCACGGCCGCCGACAAAGUAGUCGGCGUUCCACCAAAACAACACCAUCGGGCCAUCACUCCUUUACAUCCACUGCUACAAUUUCGAGUAAAGCUAAAGAAAACUCAUAGUUACUGUACGAUUUCAACCUCAUAGGUAAAUUGGUUUCUUCUUUUACUUGAAUUUGUUCAAUCCUAGAUGUUGGUAUAAAGUGGGUUCCAUGAAUGUGCAGGAUAUUGGUUAAUUUGCUAUACUGCUAUGAGCUUGUACUGUGAGAAAAAC